rnacentral:rRNA from 1 species
AUGCCUACGGAGGUUGGUAACUCACCCACCAGCACCUUCAAAUUCUUAACGGACAGAGCCUGGCAGAAUAUUUUUGGGUGGUCAGAUCGGCCGUUGUCAAGGGCUGGGAAUGAGACGUUGCUGAAAUCUAUCACACAGGCUAUUUCAACCUUUGUCUCGAGCUGCUUUCGCCUUCCGGUUGCAGCCUGUGAAAAAUUCAAGCAGAUUGUCUCCGAUCAGUGGUGGGGUAGAGAGGAUGGAAAGAAGAAAAUGCACUGGCGUUCCUGGUCAUGGUUGACAGCCCCUAAGUCUCUCGGGGGUAUGGGUUUUCGUGAUAUGGCGUUGUUCAAUCAGGCUCUUCUUGGUAAACAAGGAUGGAGGCUUCUUUCUGAACCAGGUUCGAUGUGCGCCCGUGUACUGAAAGGCAGAUAUUACCCAAAUGGAAACUUCUGGAAUGCCUCCGUGUCCCGGUCUGCUUCGGCUACCUGGCGUGGUAUUAUUCAUGGCAGGGACUUGUUGAAGAGAGGGGUUCAAUGGGGUAUUGGCAACGGACGGGACACAAAAAUUCUGUCGGAUCACUGGAUUCCG